CUUAAUCAAAUAUUGUGAUGAUUCAUGAUUGCCACCACUUCACACACAUAAAUUUAGAAUCUCCUCAAAGAACGGCUUUCGAUAAUAACAAAAAUUCUGCCCCCCAGGGCACAUCCGAGUUGGUGGAACAAUCACUUCGCUGGGACGCUGGAAGCAAGGGUGGGGAGUUCGAUUCCUGGAGUUAACACUGGGAGCCAUAUGGAGAGGAAGCCAUUGGUGUGAACAAACGCCCAGUGAGGAGAGCUUUCUUUGCGGAAGGAGUCCAAAUGAGUUGUGGGAACCUGGGAGCCAACAAGGGCACAUCCUGCGAUUUACCUCCCUGAGCUGCUGAGGGGCCGGAGGUUCAGGGACAAGGAUCUAGUCGGACGCAAGCCCGGACACCUUGUAUAAAAAAAAAAAAAAAAAAAAAAAAUUCUGAAAUUUUCCCACUCUUGCCAGAUGGAGACCAUGGUAAAAGUUAAAAAAAAUAUUAUAAUUAUUGUAUUUUACUUCCAACACCACCUAUUUGUGGUUAUAGUAUGUUCAACUAACACUAAUGAAUCCAUCUAGAUUAUUG
rnacentral:lncRNA from 1 species